rnacentral:misc_RNA from 1 species
GGUUUAUUCUAGAGCUGGUACGCUCACGUUUAAGCAAUGCGGGAUAGGGACAAGGCCGGUGAGGGGUCAGGAGAACCCCCUUUUUGUGUCUGAAUGUGAGUGGGGAAGUAAAAAGGCAGCGUGGUUCUCCCAACAUCGGCACCGCGACUGACUAUCCGCCACCAAAGGAAGGAGGAAGGAGGAAGGAGGAAGGAGAGAGAUAAAUAUUAAAUAAAAAGAAAAAGAAAACCGGCGAGUGAGUCCGAGUAGAGUCCCGGUGGGCUCUCGCGGUCUUUGCUUUCCUCGGCAAACAAUGUGUAGCACGCUAUCGUACGGAUUGCUUCGCUUACUCACAUCUUUAAUUCUUAAUUAACUAUCAUUAUCAUAAUCAUAGUCAUUAUUAUUAUUUUAUUAAUAAUAAUAAUUAUUUUUUUUAAUUUGAUUGUUUGAUUUUAUUUUCUGUUUUGUUUUUUUUUUUUUUUUUUAUUUUUAUUUUUGCUCCUGCACGAUUUGUUUAAAUUGAAUAAAGUGUGUUUAAGCUUUAAAAAGUGGGUUUAAUUUAACGAAUGUAGUUUGUUAGUUAGUGUAUGCUGCACGCGUGGAUAAAAUACCUUUAAAGUUUGUGUAGGUGCUAAUUAGCGGGGGUGUGUUAAGAGAGAGUGUGAAUGAUAAAUGGAGACGCGAGUGUGCGCUACCGGUAGCACGGUAUCCGGUGGAACGUCAGCGGAAACGGCGUCGAGAGGCGUCGCGACGCCCUCGCCCUCACCUGUGCCCUCGCUCCCAGCCUCCUCCGGGACCGCGAGUAUCGGUAUCACCGCCUCCGCGGUUCUAACUUCCGCGGGUUCUAUGCAAAGCUCAUCGAGUCCAGUGGUGUUACCAAGCCCGCCUGUUGUCUCUACCCACGCCAGUCUGCCCAAAAUACUCAGCAGAAAUGUCAACGGAACACUUGUCCAGACAUCUGUACCGCAAAACGAAGCCGAACUACAACUUUAUCGUGUUAUGCAACGUGCUUCUCUUUUAGGAUAUUAUGAUACGCUUUUAGAAAUGGGUGGUGACGAUGUACAACAACUUUGUGACGCUGGUGAAGAAGAGUUUCUAGAAAUAAUGGCAUUAGUCGGUAUGGCGAGUAAACCUCUGCACGUUAGAAGACUGCAAAAAGCUUUACAAGAAUGGAUAACAAACCCUUCGUUAUUUCAAACACCAGUAGUACCGUCUAACACGGCACCCACGAAGAGCGGUAGUUCGACAGGCGUACCGAUACCCGCGGCGAGCCCACGAACUCAUCAAACAAAUUCCUCAAUAUUUCCGCUGGCUCAAACAAGCCCGACAACACCGUUCUCCUCGACGACCCACGUGCCUCUUACACCGUUGCCUUGCAGAAGUGUUAGUCCUGUUACGCCGGUAACAACUGUUAUUGCACCUGCUGCCUCUACAUUUCGACACAGCCCGAGUCCCAAUACGCCGAUCGCUUACACGGGUUCUCACAGUCCCGGAGUGCUUCAAGUCGGAACCUGCGAGUCAUCCUGCGGAAGCGGUACAACACCCAGCCCGAGUGGUGGUGGAGGAGCACCACCUAGUCCCACACAAGUAACGCCGACGUUAUUGCCAUCGCAGGUACAGCGACUCGCGGAUGCAGCCGAAAGACUCGCCUGUAACUUGAGACCGUUGGACCCGAAACCUCACAAUGUUAAGAAAAAAAUUUGCAAAAAUCUCGAGCAGAUAGUUAUGGCGAUGCCGGAGAACGAUCCCAGGAGGAUGGAAGAGAUAAGAAAGUACGCGGCUAUUUAUGGACGGUUUGAUUGCAAAAGAAAACCCGAAAAACCGCUGACACUCCACGAGGUGUCUGUAAAUGAAGCUGCUGCGCAAAUUUGCCGGUUUGUUCCAGCUCUCCUGACCAGACGGGACGAAUUGUUUCCUCUGGCUCGACGUGUCGUUCGUGAUUCCGGAUACCACUACUCCAAAAGUCAAUUCCUAAUGACAAGACGCAGCGAAAAUGGGGACGAAGAGACUGAGAAAAUUAAGCGCCAGCAUCUCGACGCAGAUGCUGAGGGUGAGGACACAUCCCAGGCCGAGUUGGAUUUACGCUGUACCGGGACGGAUAUCAACAGUACUUUAAGACGACAUGCCUCCUCAAGUUUGGAGGAAGAAGAGUAACAACGGUGUGUUUAUGACCAAUAUCGAAGAAGUCAGCGACACUGAUAGCCAAUUUUCAUUUUCUAAUGACGAAUCUUUGCAUGAUAUCAACGAAUUGGACACCGACAAUACGGAUAAAGAAAGUGAUUUUAAUUUAAAA